GAUCAUGACUCAGGAUGAACGCUAGCUACAGGCUUAACACAUGCAAGUCGAGGGGCAGCAUGGUCUUAGCUUGCUAAGGCCGAUGGCGACCGGCGCACGGGUGAGUAACGCGUAUCCAACCUGCCUUACACUCUUGGACAGCCUUCUGAAAGGGAGAUUAAUACAAGAUGUUAUCAUGAGUAAGCAUUUCGUCAUGAUUAAAGGUUUUAACCGGGUUCGGUAAGAAUGGGAGGUGCGUU
rnacentral:rRNA from 1 species